ensembl:lncRNA
GAACUAAUAGCUGUUUUAUUUGCAUGUAAGUUCUACAAACAUCUGCAGCCGUUCCUUUCUAUAAACAUCCAAUAUAUACAAGUCAGAUCUCAAGAGUAAAACCUGAGAAGCAUCACUCAUGGUAGUAGAUAUACUGAGUGAACAUUGUACAUUUAACAAUAUUUUCCCGUGCAUGGCAGUCAUCUUCCUGAGAUGGCCUUCCCUCCAAGCACCAUCCAGGGACAUUUUCACUUGACAAAAGAACUGACAACCAAACCCUUCUUGGUCUCAACUUCUACUUGGUAUGAGUUGAGGUAUGGUGAGGGAGCUGUGAAAUUGCUCCCAUUGUAUCUCCUUUGUGGCUUGAGGGCUUCAUAGUCAAGGCUGCCUCUGAACAGUCGUAUAUCUGUAGCAGCUAGACUUUCCCAUUCAGAAGUAUGUGGUAAUGCUUCUGGUGAAGUAUUGGUGCAACAAGUUAGGCACCCUGCUGUCUUCAUCUGAGUGAAAAAGAAAAACAGCUUCCAGAUUGUGACACAGAGCUGGCUCUGGAAAAUGUGGAAUGCUUGGUUUUUUUGUUUGGAUGCUGUUGAUAAUACUGUUUGAUUGUUUUGUUUUCUUCUUGCUACAGGGAUAGGUGGAACACAAGUUGCAGCAUGAAAGUCAUUAAUUAGGAUGAUUAUGGCUGACUUUAUCUUCAUUUGUCUUAACUUACACUUCCUACAUCUUAAUUAUAAUGCAAAGAAUGGCAUGUGUCUUCCUAGCAACUAGCUCUGAUAUAUGACACUUCAGAGCAACUAAUGUUUUUAAUUGCUGAAGUAAACAUUUGUCUCAAGUCAUCCAAAGAACUUUCCCCCUAAAUAAACUGUAGCUGAUGGAGGACAACUGACACCUUUUUGAUGUUGUUUUGCCAAUUGCAUUUAUUUGGCAAGAGAUGAGGGAAUUCAGUCAGCCCUUGAGGUCCACUGCAAGGCGAGGUGACAGCAUCUACAGGGAUCCAGUUCUGUGCUAUGUAAUACUGGUGACACAUGCAGCAUUACAACAUGGCACUGGUCUGUAGAGGUUGUCAUUCUUAUGAUGCUUAAAAAGGCUGAGUCAAUGACCUGGUCCAAUUCCCAGCAUGGCCACACAGCAGAUCUUUUAGUCUAAUGGAGUUGGCGGCGCUGCAUGGCACGGCACAGCACGAGCACUGCUCAGUGGCAGAAAUAUCUUAAGACAUUGUUGCUAUCAAACACGCCAUCUCAUGAGACCAAAGCUGUUGUUCCAAAGUCCAACUCAGGAACUAAGCUGAUCUGGACAGCAUCUUGGUUUUGUAUUUCAAACAAAAUACAGAUGAGUAAACUAGGCAGAACUCCGAAACUGUUGGCCUUUCUCCUCAUCUCCUGUGCUGUCUGUGCAUCAUAUGGCGCUGGCUAAAUAAGCUGUGUGGAUUUGGGCCUGCUUGCACUGUACAAAAAUCUGGCUCUGAGGUUAUUUGAGCUAAUACUCUUUAAGCUUCACAGGCAUACAUGACUUUGCACGUACAUGAAAUAUAUAAUGCUAUGUAUCCUUCAGUUUCUUUCUGCCUUGGAGUGUUUGCAUGUCUAGAGUUGGUCUUUUUUUCUGUCCUCUUACAGGUGACUAAAACCAAUUGAAAGAAUUUUGAUGGGCAAUAGAUCUCAAUUUCCUUCUGUCUCCCUCUGUAUUGGCUUCAUCUUCCCCUUUGUGACUGCAAUUCAGGGACAUUUCUAUAUGUGAAAUGUAAGGCAGAUUAUAGGGACAACUGUACAGUUAAGGUUUGUUUUCCUUUUUCUUGGGUUGCUCUCUUGGUUAGACUGGUGCAGCAUGAAAUUGGCAGCUGUGAGAAACAGUUUCAGAUGGCUAAGCUGAAGGAAUGUAUUGUGAGGAGGAACCCUUUCUUGAGAGGAUCACUUUUUGCUAUGUGUUUGUAAGCGUUCUUAGAAAUCUGAUGUCUACUUAAGAAGUAGGACUGCAGUAUCUAUUGAAGCAGAAUAACAUAGAAUCAUAGAAUCACUAAGGUUGGAAA